rnacentral:rRNA from 1 species
CUGGGUUCAGAACGUCGCGAGACAGUUCGGUCCCUAUCUGUUGCGGGCGUUGGAUGCCUGUGGGGGGCCGCCUUUAGUACGAGAGGACCGAGGCGGACCGACCUCUGGCUUGCCGGUUGUCGCGCCAGCGGCACACGCCGGGUAACUAAGUCGGGAAGGGAUAACCGCUGAAAGCAUCUAAGCGGGAAGCCCGCCCCGAGAAUAGGCAUCCCAUGGGGCUCGACCCCACCGAAGGCCCCCGGCACACCACCGGGUUGAUAGGCGGCAGGCGCAAGCGCGGCGACGCGCUCACCCGAGCCGUACUAAUAGGCCGCGAGGCUUGGCCAU